GCCCUUUGUGGUAGGCCGGAUGUCGAUCGCCGCGGCAGCUACGUAAACAUCGUAAACAACGUCUUCCUCCCCAAGAAUGCAGACGAACGUCUCCACCUCCUUGUUCGCCCAAGCAAGCGUUUUACGCGAGAUGUUAAUUGUAAAGAAUAAUACCUCGAAGCUACUGUUUGUUUGUUUUUAUCCCCGCGUCACCCGGAAGUGAUGAUUCUGUCGACCAAUCAACGGAGGGGGGUGUGUAGCUAGAAUUUCCCGGGACCCUUUCAGGCUUCUCGUCUCGUUUUCAGUACCCCAACGGAGGAGUCCUGAAAACCAGGCCAAAACGGAACGUGUUUCUGGAGCGGAUGCGAGCCGGUAGGGGAGCCGUGAAUCUGGAGGAUUACCAUCACACUACUAACAUGGAUUGUAAGUUUGUAUUAACCUAACCACAAAGUGGAAAUAAAGGGCUUAAAAAUAAGACAAACUACAUGGUUGUUACCAGACUUUAGGGCCAGACUCGCUCUGUUUGUUCCAGACCAGGACUCUGGCUGAGGAGAGCUGAUGGAGGAGCCAAGACUCUGGAGGACGACAUCACUCUACCAACCAGGAUCCUCACCAGGAAUCUGGAGGACUGAUGGGGAAGCCGUACAUCUGGAAGGCAAAUCCUGAGGACAACCAGGACUCUACCAUCAAGGAUUCCUCACACACCUGAGCUGAACCCGCCCUGAUCCUGACAUCCUGCUGGUCACGUCUCCUCAGUUCAUCUGCGCCUCGUCCUCCAGAAGACCUGCUGAGCUCAGUGGUCUGAGGCUGAGGGAUCAAUGACCUCCAGUGGGAGUGAUCUUCUUGACCCCACAUUUAACCGUGUGCUUCCACACGCCUUUCUCUCACGUCUGUCACUAACAUCACUACUUCACUACUCUCUACUGCUUCCUCUUCUUCUUCCUUCUCUGUGGUUCGAACCUUUACACUGAAGGCGCGUCUUCCUGCCCUCAGAGGGUUCAGCGUUAGGGUUGAGAGUCAGGGUUUAGAGUCAGGGACAGAGCUGGUCAGGGAGGACUUCUUUUACACAAAGAACUUGCUUUCGGAAUGGUGGUGACAUUUUGAAAAUAUUAAUUUGGGAAAAUGUUUUCCUCUGCUUACCUUUACAAAAUUGUAUUAAACUUCUGUCAAGUGUUUGUUUAUAUUAAAAUCCC
ensembl:lncRNA